rnacentral:rRNA from 1 species
GAUGAACGCUGGCGGCGUGCCUAAUACAUGCAAGUCGAGCGAAUGGAUUAAGAGCUUGCUCUUAUGAAGUUAACGGCGGACGGGUGAGUAACACGUGGGUAACCUGCCCAUAAGACUGGGAUAACUCCGGGAAACCGGGGCUAAUACCGGAUAACAUUUUGAACCGCAUGGUUCGAAAUUGAAAGGCGGCUUCGGCUGUCACUUAUGGAUGGACCCGCGUCGCAGUAGCUAGUUGGUGAGGUAACGGCUCACCAAGGCAACGAUGCGUAGCCGACCUGGGAGGGUGAUCGGCCACACUGGGACUGAGACACGGCCCAGACUCCUACGGGAGGCAGCAGUAGGGAAUCUUCCGCAAUGGACGAAAGUCUGACGGAGCAACGCCGCGUGAGUGAUGAAGGCUUUCGGGUCGUAAAACUCUGUUGUUAGGGAAGAACAAGUGCUAGUUGAAUAAGCUGGCACCUUGACGGUACCUAACCAGAAAGCCACGGCUAACUACGUGCCAGCCGCCGCAGUAA